rnacentral:misc_RNA from 1 species
GUGAAUCAUCAAAUCUUUGAACGCAUAUUGCACUCUCUGGUAUUCCGGAGGGUAUGCCUGUUUGAGGGUAUUAAAAAGGAUCUUUAACCAAUUUUUUUUGGUCAAAGGAAAUGAGCUCUCCGCGGUUAUAACGGUAGCUUGAAAUAAAUGGUCAAGGCUCAUUUUAGUCGAGACGCGUAAUAAUAUUAUUUCGCGAAAUCUUCAUUAUGUGGCUAUCAAGGUUUGAUUGAUACAAAUUUGCUUUUUA